GGUUACCUUGUUACGACUUCACCCCAGUCGCUAAAUCCACUGUGGAAGGUAGCUACUUUAGCAUCCCCGCUUCGAAUGAGUUCAACUCCCAUGGUGUGACGGGCGGUGAGUACAAGACCCGGGAACGUAUUCACCGUAGCAUAGCUGAUCUACGAUUACUAGCGAUUCCAACUUCAUGUAGUCGAGUUGCAGACUACAAUYCGAACUGGGAGAUAUUUUUGAGAUUUGCUCCACGUCACCGUAUUGCUGCUCUUUGUAUACCCCAUUGUAGCACGUGUGUAGCCCUGGACGUAAGGGCCAUGAUGACUUGACGU
rnacentral:rRNA from 1 species